UGUGUGUGUGUGAGUUCUGUGUGUGUGUGUGGUGUUGGCUGUCUAUAUGUGUAUGUGUGAGUGAACUUUGUGUCUGUUAAUGUUGUAGGAAGAAUUCAGCAGCAUGGUAACAGGAGUGGUGGUCUUUUGUGUAGUUGUAUGUUUCUUCACAUGUGCAUAGAGG